rnacentral:rRNA from 1 species
UACGAAGGGGGCUAGCGUUGUUCGGAAUCACUGGGCGUAAAGCGCACGUAGGCGGAUUGUUAAGUCGGGGGUGAAAUCCUGAGGCUCAACCUCAGAACUGCCUUCGAUACAGCAAGUCUUGAGUUCGAGAGAGGUGGGUGGAAUUCCUAGUGUAGAGGUGAAAUUCGUAGAUAUUAGGAAGAACACCGGUGGCGAAGGCGGCCCACUGGCUCGAUACUGACGCUGAGGUGCGAAAGCGUGGGGAGCAAACAGG